AUAAAGCUAUGGGGAUAUCUCCGGCCGAGGUAUUUGGAAUUUUUCGAUUUUUUUGUAGUCCCUUCGUCAUCAGUAUUAGCAUUUUUGUUUCGAUUUAAAUCGCCUAUUAGAAGGGUAUUAUGUAUGGGUGUUUUCAUCUUUAAUCGUUCUAUUGUGUUUACUCGUGGAAUUGAAUGGAAAUGUUGUGAUAAAUUCUUGAUGAAGAUGUUUCGAUUUUUCUCUUCUCUGAAUUUUCUUUUGAAAGCUUGAUAUUCUGAGAGACAAGACAAUACAUAACGUACGAUUGGUGAAAUUGAAGGGAAAUUCUUGUGAUUAAUUAUUGUUAAAGUUCAAAUGUUAAAGACUUUUAUUUUAGGUGUUGUUUUGCAGAUUCGACAAUUGUUUUGGAGCUGCCCCUUGAUGUGAGAAAAGAUUUUGCAUCAUUGAUCUUAUUUCUUCAUACAACUAAGUAGAUACUCGUCCAAAUAUUGCACUUCAAAUCUGAAUUCGGAGUUUGUACUCCAAAAUUCACUCAGAAUUUCGUCCAAAAACACAUCUACCAUCAGUAAUCAUUGUUGCGAUUAGCAAGUGUGUUUGCAAAGCAUGGCUCCAUCUUCUUGGCACUAGCCUAUAUUUGUAAAUGCCCACCCGUUUUGGUGUCGGCGCGUGUGUGUCUCAACAAUUCCCGAUUCCCCUCCCUUUCCAACAAUGGAUCGUUCAAUGAUGUUUGCCGCUGCUAAUGGCUU
rnacentral:lncRNA from 1 species